rnacentral:rRNA from 1 species
UACGAAGGGGGCUAGCGUUGCUCGGAAUCACUGGGCGUAAAGCGCACGUAGGCGGAUUGUUAAGUCAGGGGUGAAAUCCUGGAGCUCAACUCCAGAACUGCCUUUGAUACUGGCGAUCUUGAGUUCGGGAGAGGUGAGUGGAACUGCGAGUGUAGAGGUGAAAUUCGUAGAUAUUCGCAAGAACACCAGUGGCGAAGGCGGGUCUCUGGGCAGUAACUGACGCUGAGGAGCGAAAGCGUGGGGAGCGAACAGG